ACGGAGCUGCGACGUUCGUCAGGACACAUUUCCCCGGGGCCUUAUCGAUCUCAUGGGAGCUGUCCCUGUCCUCGACCCUGGUCUUGGGCACACGGCGCCCACCUACUUAGGUAGGUUCCCGGGAUCGCCGUCCAACGGCAGAGUGGCUCCGCU
rnacentral:other from 1 species